CACAAUUUUCCAUUAGUCACGAAUCCAACAAUCUAAUCAAAACUCAAUAAACUAAUUGAAACACCAUAACAUCAUCUCAAUACCAAACUAAUAACAAUUUUACAACCUCAAACCAAGCUUAUUUUUAUCAAUUAUUCACACAAAAUAUUUAUAAAUUAUUUACAGUUACUUACUAAACUUCAUUGGUAUUCAUAAGU